UUUACUUUAAUUCCCAUUAACUUGUCAGCCCGAUUCAACCGGAUGGGAAAAAAACAAAAGCAGCGAAAACCAAGCACUCCCAUUCUUCCUCCCCCACACUUCGUUUGAACUCUCUUUCCCCAUUUUCUCCAGAGCCUUAGCUCAAGAACACAAGACCACGGGCGGUACUCUUCACUGUUUCACUGAGCUUCGACGGCGUGCACUCAACCGGCGACCAUCAGCGACAAGAUUCAACCGGCAUGCACCAAUCUUCUCAAAUCUUAUCUUCUUCAUUGCAGCAGACUGUUGCUGAUAAUAAUUUCUUCACCGGUAGAAGUUAAAAGAUAUUAAGGAGAAGAUUGAAAUAGAGUGGUCUGUUAUCUGUUUGUUAAUGGAGUUUCAACGAAUCUAUAUCUCAAUGUCAAGCUCUUCUUCUUCUUCUUCUGUAUCUUCACCGAGCCAUAGACCACAAGCUCACUGGCGGUUUCAUUGCAAACCGACAUUCGUGAAAUCAACCGUAAAAUCUAUUGGCGACGGUAAGAAAUCAACCGGAGCUCGUGAAGCCAAAUGUAAAAUCUACCGGCAGCAGAAAAAAAUCAACUGGUGGUCAUCUAAAAUCAYUCAGUAGAACAAGUCUGUAUCUCCACGCCAAACUCUUCUUCUUCUCAUUCUCUUCCUCCUCUCCUUAUUUUCCCUUUUUAUUCUCUCAUUUCUGUCGACUACUGUGACCAAGCUAUUGCCGACUGCUAUGAUGAAGCUAUUGCUAGAAGAUUUCUGUCAAUAUACUUUGCUAGUCUUCUUUGUUUU